rnacentral:lncRNA from 1 species
AGGAGUGUUCCCAAUCCGGCUUCCAGAUUCCUUGGAUUCAGCGUGUGGAGAAGGGUAAGCACCAGUGUAGCUAUAACAGGAGACAGUCUUUUAAAAGCCUGGGAUGCUGCAGCCCUCUUAGACUGAACACAUGUCAGGACGUGCCUGUGGGGGAUGCUGGUGGUGGUUUAGGCUCAGGAUUCUGCAUUCCGUACUUUUGAAGUCGUUCUCUGCUGGCAACCUCUCUAUGAUUUUCAUGUGGUGGUGUUCAGGCCAACCUUUCCAGUUCCAAGUGAUAAAAGUCCACUCUGUGAAGUGUCCAGGAUUUAGCAUAAAGUUGGAGAGCAUGUGGGUGCUGGGCUUAUGGCAAUUCUGUGCUCCUUGUUACAAUUGAUAGCAAGACCGGGCUUGGAAAGCAGAAUCCACUCUCUGGUCCGCUGAGGAACUGUCUCACCGUACAGGAGUUGUCUCUCCGAGAGAAUUAAACUGCGUGCUCUUUCAUCGGCUUUGUGAGUGCAGGCUGGCCAUGGACUGGGGGGAUGAGUAUGUGAAUGAACAAGUGAAUGGAGUCUCUUCCUCCUGACUUGGAAAGGUGCUUAGAAGGAGCCGUUCCUCCCUCCAGAACCCCUCUGUUGGGGAGCCCUGGCGCAGGCUCGAGAGUGGCACUGGUGUGCUGAACAGCCUGUGCCUGCUUAAAGUAAACGUCAGUACUCUGCCUGGGGUCACCUCUUCUGGGACCAUGUAGUGCUCAUUUCACAGGCGCCACUCUCUGUGAGACCCAAGCACAGAUAGUGACCUCAAAGCCCCCCCUGCAUUUGCCUUUUUAUAGAUCCACAUUGGGAGAUGUUUUAAUAUUUCUUGUGGACCAGUAGGACUCUUGUGCCCCCAAACAGAGGCUUGAUUUGGGGUGAUGAUUUUUUAAAAAGGCUCACUUGCUUUGUGAGAAUAACUUUCUAAAUUUCCGUUGCAGUGGGAGGUGUCCCAGGGACGCUGCCCCACAUGAAGCGAGGCUGGGAUAAGACAAAUAGGACCGGGGAAACAGGGACAGGAUUCUUUUACAGCAUUUCAUUUUGCAUACCAAGAAUACAACUUGUAAAUCUUUCUUAUGCUUUUAUUACGGUACAUAAAUUAUGAUAUUUGAGUUGAAGUCAUAAAGCUGCACAGAGCAGAGAGUCAGUUGCCUUCUUGAAACUUCCCAUAGGUAGUGUGAUUUCAAUAAUUCCACAGUGAAAUUUCAACACCUCUGAUUAGGCACUUUUUUCUACAAAGUAACAGCAGUAAUCCCCAUGUAAAAAGGUGGUACACUAUCCUGGAUGGCAGAUGGUGUUAUUAAAUGCACAGGCAAAGCCCAAGGUCAUAAGGAACUAACAAUCAACCAGAAAUACGAUCUGUCAUAGUCAUUUAAUGGGUAACCCACAGAUAUGUACCAUUUGUAUUAUCGUGCAUGUUGGAGGUUUGUAGUCAGACUUCAGAACAGUUGUACAAUUGCUUAGAAAUCUUGUAAUUAUUUCCUUAUUUAAGCAUUUAGUGAAAUUAACAAGCCAAAAACAAAGUGAAAAUCAGUGUGCUUUUCUCACGACAUUGUGUUCUGUUAGCCUACUUUGAAAAACACUUUACCAAUUCAGAUGGUACAAUUUCAUAGCUCUCCCUGAAUAUAACUGGUCUCUCUAAACUAGUACCAUCAAAAGUUAGAUUUUAUUCUGAUGGUUUGAAUGAUGUUAGGAUUGCUUCACAUUAUCAUAGACAUAUUUUUGCCUCCCAAGAUUUAGUAAUGUGAAGGUUCUGAGAAAAGAUAUGGGCAUACACAGCAACAACCAGAAGUGUGGAUGAGGGACAGUUGGGAAGCAUGGGGCAGGGGGGAGAGCAGUGAGUUGGGGGGGCAAUAAGGACCCGUGAGUAAUGGCUGGCACCAUUAGAAUCUGAAGUAGCCUUAUUUCUAUUGCAAAUCCACAGGGACAUGUCAGUAAGUUGGGAGCUUUACAUACAGUGGCCAGGUCCCCAAGAGGGUUUCCAAGGUCAGUUUGCCAUGGAAUAUGUCUUCAGCUUCCUUUUCAGUUAGGGCUUUUGAAGGUGAGGCACUGAGUUCUAAUUUCUCCCAAGUGGGUGGGGUAGGAACCCACCAGGGCAGCAACUGAAUCUGAAUCCAAAGAUCUGACACUUGGUUGGGUUUGGAAGAGUGAGCCUCAGCUCAUAGGCAAGGACUAUGUCAGACAUCAAAGAGAUGGACUCCAGCCACCUUUCCACCAAUGUGAAAACCAGCAUCUGGAAAGCUGAGUAGGCCCAGAGCCCAAGGGGACCAAGAUGAGCCAUGAAAAACCCGCUUCGGAGGUGGAUGGCUGAUCAGAGUAAGCGAGUGAGUCCAGUCUUCAGACAAAAGCUGUUAUUAAUUUUCCUUGCUGUUGGAUUUGGGGAGGAAUUUUGAACCACAGAACAUGCAUGCCAGUGAGAACUUUUCCCUUAUACAGC